CUCCUACGGGAGGCAGCAGUCGAGGAUCAUUCGCAAUGGGGGAAACCCUGACGAUGCGACGCUGCGUGGAGGAUGACGGCCUUCGGGUUGUAAACUCCUGUCAUGAGGGAAGAGGAGAGUGUCACUAACAUUGACGCGAUUUGACGGUACCUCAAGAGGAAGCCACGGCUAACUCUGUGCCAGCAGCCGCGGUAAUACAGAGGUGGCGAGCGUUGUUCGGAUUUACUGGGCGUAAAGGGCGCGUAGGCGGCCGCGCGUGUGGGGUGUGAAAUCUCCGGGCUCAACCCGGAAAGUGCGCCCCAAACUGCGCGGCUGGAGUGCGGGAGGGGAGAUCGGAAUGCAGGGUGUAGCGGUGAAAUGCGUUGAUAUCCUGCAGAACACCGGUGGCGAAGGCGGAUCUCUGGAACGCAACUGACGCUGAGGCGCGAAAGCCGGGGGAGCAAACAGGAUUAGAUACCCUGGUAGUCCCGGCCUUAAACGGUGCACACUUGGGGGU
rnacentral:rRNA from 1 species